CUGCUGCUGUUGCUGCUACUGCUGCUGGCCUCUCGGGAUGGCUUGGAGGUGCUCCCAACCUGGGAAGGCUGGGAGGGGACGUUGCUGGCGGUCGGUAUUGUCCACUCUGCGCUGCCAAUCUUCGAUGUGAGCGAGGCGGCGCAGGUUUUUUUGGCGGGUCUGAGCACGGGUGAUGGCAUUGAGGGAGGCAAGGGCGACCACUGCCCAGACGCCACGGUGAAAGGUAGGGGAGGGGGGGGCUGCGAGCCAGAGGUGUGAAGGUUGGAGAUGGACGCCUUGGGGAAGGUGUCUUUGGAGGAGGUUGCGGACUGCCACUGCUAUGUGACAGGACCAAAAGCAAUGGGAGCGGAGAGCAGAGGCAGGGUCAGG
rnacentral:lncRNA from 1 species